rnacentral:lncRNA from 1 species
CUGUGGAACCUUGCCUUGGUUAAGAUACGCUUUUGCUGCAUUCAGCAAAACCCAAAAAAGUGGCUUAAGCAAGAGUGAGGUUUAUUUAUUUCUCAUAUAAAAGAAUUCUAGAGAUAAGCAGUUCAGGGAGAGUAUGGUGACUCAGUGAUCCUCAGGAAUUUAGGCUUCUGUUUGCUUUUCUGUCUCAAGGUUGCCUCGUGGUCCAAAAUAGCUGCUGGAACUCCAGCCAUCACAUUCAUGUUUCAGACAAGAAUUAGAAGAAAGGGAGAAAGGACUUAAGAGUGAGUAGCAGCUGUUGGUCUGGCUUUAAAGGCACUUUCCUAGAAGCCUCUCUUGACAAUUUCUAUUCAGAUCUCGUUAGCCAUUUCUGGCUACAGGGGAGGCUGGGGAAUGUAGUGUUUUAUCUGGGCAUAUGGCCACCUCAAGUAAAACAGGGGCUCUGUUACAAAGAAAAAUGGAAGAAUUGAUAUUGAGUAGGCAACUAGCAGCCUCUGGCACAAGCCUUUUCCAACUACUCGAACCCAUCUUUCGGUUCUUCGCAUGAGCCCUACACUCACAAUUGUCGUAUUAUUGUGCCAUCUAUUAAUUCAUUGACCCAGUGAACAAAUAACAAGUGAGCCACUGCUCUGUGCAAGGCACGAUGCCUUUUAUAUGUUCGCUGUCAAGUGUCACUCUCAAACUAAGAGGUUAGCUGGCUCUUUGAGAGAAGGGAUCAUGGCUUAUGCUGCUUUUUCUCCCUCACAAUAACACCUUUCACAAAGCUGGGCACGUGGCAAGUGCUGGAUAAGUACCUCAUUGAUCUUCUAAUAGUCACAGAUGAGACGCUCAGUGAAAACUUCAAUUCCUUGACAUGGGACUGUGCCCAGCCGUUACUGGUUGCGUAAGGUUUGUUUGGGGUUCAUUCUGGUUUGAAGGUAGAGCCUAGGUUCUCUUGCUGCAUCAGUGCUGUGUUGCUGCCACACAGACCUGUUCCGGUAUUGGGGUGGCUCUGUCUGUUUUGGAAACUGGAUUCUGUUGGGAUACUCAACUAGAAUUAUAAGCAGACCUGUCUGUGCCCACCUGACUGUCUUCACCACCACUCUGCCCGUGUAGCUGUUUUUACUCAGCUCGAAUCUCCCUUGUGAUUUCUGCACUGCGGAGCUGCCAGGUGGAUCUGCAGUCUUUGCGCAGCGAGCGUCAGCCGCGGUUCACGUUCCUGCCUUCCCAUCUGAUCCCUGCUCCUGUCUGCCCGAGACAAGACUGUCUGAAGGGAGGUUGCCUCGAGCUUAUGUCACAUCUUGCAGCUGCUGAGAAAAUGAUUGUUUUAACAUUGUUAUUGGCACUUGAAGGAAAGGAACUAGAAAAUAUUUCUCCUCUACUCCCUGUAAGGCAGUGUGUUACGUGCUUCACCUGCGUGAUCGCAUUUCAUAUGCAGAACCGUCUACUCCUCCGUUCUCACUGUGAAGAAAGUAAUACUCGGCUCGUUUUGCAGAUGACGAAGCCGAGGCUCUGACCUGUGAACUAACAAGCCCAAGUGCACUUAGAGUGAAGCGGUGGAAUUAUUUUUUUCUCUAAGAUACUAAUUAAUUAUGUGGAGAGAUAAUUCACAUAGUAUACAAUUUACCUGCUUAAAGUGAGCAUGCAUGGUUUUUAGUAUAUUCGUAAAGUUGUGUAACCAUUGUCGCUCUAAUUCCAGACCGUUUUCAUCAGGUCAGUGAUUUAAAUUAACUAGACCCGAUUUAGGGGAACAUCAGGGCUUGUGUGUGUGAAAUAUGUGCAUAAAAGGACCAUCGCCUCAUAAGCUGUUUUCUUCCCGUUACUGCAGCAGUCCUGGCACGCUUUGAAUUGCUGCAGAAUACGCUGAAAUUCCUCUGGGCCCCCCAUCCUACCUUGUUUGUGUUUCCUGGACUUAGGACAGGGGACAGAAUAUUCCAAGCUUGAGGUUCCAGAAACAGCCCUGGGGUUGUAAUUGACAUCGUGAGAGGCACCCUUAUUCUGACCCGUGUCUUACUUGUCCCUGGAGCCCCAGAAUGUCAUGGUGCCUGGCAUAUAGGAAGUGCUUAAUAAAUGUUCAUGAAUAUCCAGAGGGUCAUUCCAUUAGCUCUAAUCUAAAUCACUGCCAUAACUGAUUCUUCUGCCUUUAGCCUUUCUCCUCCAGCCCCAGGUCUCUCCCACGUGAAAGACAAAGUGGUUGCUCUGGCCUAAAUCUACAGAGUUUAGACUGAAGUGAUCCUACUGGCUGUCCGUCCCUUUAAAAGGCUUUCCCCCAAGCCCUACCUAGCAACUGCUGCUUUCACGCUAUUGGCCGACACUGGGUGCAGGCCUGUGAGUGGCAAGGAGGGCUGGGGAAUCAGGAGUUGUCACUCUUCCGCCUCUGUAGUAAAGCGUGUUAAGGGAGAAGGGGACUCUGAAUAGCUUGGGGAAAACCAGCACAGCGCUUGCUCGCUCUGCAGUCCUUCCCUGAACCUGCACGUUCGUGUCAGUGAUUACAAAAUGGUUUGAUCUCUGUUUCCCCUAUUGGAUUCCAAACCCUUAAAUUGUGUAUGUUAGAAGGGGACGAUUUAAUUUUAGCAUCCCUAUCCCUAAUACAAUGCCAGCAUAUUGUAUUUAUUGAAUAACAAAAGAAAGAUGGUACAUUUUCAAGUAAGAACUUUGUGGGAUUUGGAAUUCUUGGCUGGACAAUUAGGGUCUUUAAGCAUUUAAAACCUUUUUUCAUUUCCUCUUCUUUAUCUCUUCUUCCUUUAUUUUAUUUUUUUUUAUUUUAUUUUAUUUUAUUUUAUUUUAUUUUAUUUUAUUUUUUAUCUUUUUGUCUUUUCUAGGGCUGCACCUGAGGCAUAUGGAGGUUCCCAAGCUACGUGUCCAAUUGGAGCUGUAGCCGCCGGCCUACGCCAGAGCCACACAACGCGGGAUCCGAGCCACAUCUGCAACCUAUACCACAGCUCAUGGCAACGCCGGAUCGUUAACCCACUGAGCAAGGGCAGGGACCGAACUCGCAACCUCAUGGUUCCUAGUCGGAUUCGUUAACCACUGCGCCACGACGGGAACUCCUAACUUAAAAUUUUUUAUGCCUCCCUUUCCUUAUCUGUAGUCUGAGAGUGAUAAUAAUAUGAUUAGCAAUACCUAAUUAAGUCGGUGUGAAGAUAAAUAACUCAAUAUGUAAAGCAUGUAGCACCUGGCACAUAGUAAACAGUGUGUGUUGGCUAAUUUUAUUAUUAUUAUUAUCACAAACAUGAUUCGUUUGGCCAUGUGCACUGCUGAGAGAGAGAAUAAGGGUGAAGAAUGGUGCCUUGCUCAUCUUGUUGCCUGUCAUAUCCGUAAUUGAAACCUGAGCCUUCUGGAAGUCCUGCAGUUUGAAUAAUCCAAGAGCUGGAGCAGAGGAGCAUCCAAUUACGGAUGCCUCACAGCUGCAUCCGGGGAGGAAGGUGAGGCCUCAGCACUGUCUAGCUGAGGUUCUGGUCCUAUUACAGAGAAGCCCUGCUUUGUAUGCAGCUGCCUUGCCUUGGGUUUGGCUACAUAAUUGCGCCUUUUUGUCUCAUUUAAAAGCAUCUUGAGGAAUUCAGAGCUCUUUCCCGCUGACAGUCAGCAGAGAAAGCCAGAGUGUCACGUCUCUAAUGAGCCUCACGGAUGCUCUGAUGGCCCCACCAAGACGGCCAGGCAGGGAGCUCACACACAAGCCUGUGCCUGCAUCCACGAGCUCCCUUUGAGCACAGGCGACCAUGCCAGACUUCAUUAAGGGACUCCCUGUGCACCCCCAGGACCCCCCACGCCUGUCCUCAUUGUCUCAGAAGGGCAUGGUGUUCUUCCUGAAUGCUGGGCUUGUUGGUAACCUUUGCGGGCUGGCAGUGAAAAAAAGAAAUUAAUUAUUCAUAUCAGCGGGCCUGAAGGAGCUGUUGUUUGCAGAGUUGACUCCUCUUCUGGCUACCAGACCCAGAAUUCCCCAGUGUGUUUGGACAAGCAGAAGACAGGGUGGUCCUUGGAGACAGCUGCUCUGAAAACAGAGAGGGCAAGUGGCUGGCUCCAGGCUACAUGCAGUCUGUUGAUGCACUUUGUUUGGGCUGCAGGGAGUUAAAAAAAUUUUUUUUUUAAUUGGGAGAGUUUUACAUAGAAUCUGGAUUUCUGUGUUUGCUUAAAAGAUGGGAAGGUCUUCGAUACAUGUGGAAAUCAUGACAGUGCUGAGUAAAUGACCCCUUCAGAUGGACCAUGAUUUCACUGAUUGCUUCAGCGGCAUCAGGACCUUUACCCAUUCACAUUGUGAGAGGUGUGUGUUUAGUGUGAACAGAGCUGCCUGGCCUUGCAUCCUGACCCUGCCACUUACUAGUUGUGUGUGACUUUAGGCAAAUUACUUAGCCCCUUUGGGCCCCAGUUUCCUCGCCUGCAAAAUGGGGGUUAUAAUGGUUUGCCUCACAAAUCUUGAGAACCAAAUGAGUUAGAAUAAGUGCUUAAAAACAGUGUACCUAUCACAUAAUAAGUACUGCUUAGGUGUUAAUGUGUACUAGCAUUAUACUACAUACCUGCCUGCUGUUUCAGGCAUUUGAGAUGAUAAUCCCUGUGUUAAAGAGUUUUCCAUGGAAGAAAAAAACAUAUUUCUUUCCUAGUGUUCCUCUUAACUCAUUAAUGAGUGUCUACUACCGGAGUUCCCGUUGUGGCCAGUGGUUAACAAACCCGACUAGGAACCAUGAGGUUGCAGCUUCGAUCCCGAUCCCUGGCCUCGCUCAGUGGGUUAAGGAUCCAGUGUUGCCGUGAGCUGUGGUGUAGGUUGCAGACGCGGCUCGGAUCCCGUGUUGCUGUGGCUCUGACGUAGGCUGGUGGCUACAGUUCUGAUUGGACCCCUAGCCUGGGAACCUCCAUAUGCUGCAAGUGCAGCCCUAAAAAAAAAAAAAAA